AGUGAACGCUGGCGGUAGGCCUAACACAUGCAAGUCGAACGGCAGCACAGUAAGAUCUUGCUCUUACGGGUGGCGAGUGGCGGACGGGUGAGGAAUACAUCGGAAUCUACUUUUUCGUGGGGGAUAACGUAGGGAAACUUACGCUAAUACCGCAUACGACCUACGGGUGAAAGCAGGGGAUCUUCGGACCUUGCGCGAUUGAAUUAGCCGAUGUCGGAUUAGCUAGUUGGCGGGGUAAAGGCCCACCAAGGCGACGAUCCGUAGCUGGUCUGAGAGGAUGAUCAGCCACACUGGAACUGAGACACGGUCAAGACUCCUACGGGAGGCAGCAGUGGGGAAUAUUGGACAAUGGGCGCAAGCCUGAUACAGCCAUACCGCGUGGGUGAAGAAGGCCUUCGGGUUGUAAAGCCCUUUUGUUGGGAAAGAAAAGCAGCAGGUUAAUACCCCGCUGUUCUGACGGUACCCAAAGAAUAAGCACCGGCUAACUUCGUG
rnacentral:rRNA from 1 species